UACGUAGGUGGCAAGCGUUUGUCCGGAAUUAUUGGGCGUAAAGCGCGCGCAGGCGGUCUUUUAAGUCUGAUGUGAAAGCCCACGGCUUAACCGUGGAGGGUCAUUGGAAACUGGAGGACUUGAGUGCAGAAGAGGAGAGUGGAAUUCCACGUGUAGCGGUGAAAUGCGUAGAGAUGUGGAGGAACACCAGUGGCGAAGGCGACUCUCUGGUCUGUAACUGACGCUGAGGCGCGAAAGCGUGGGUAGCGAACAGG
rnacentral:rRNA from 1 species